UGCUAGGAAUAUUAUUUCUGGCUCUGACCAUGGCUUCUUUGGACUCAGCCUGCUAUACUUUCUACAAUUUGCUUCAUUUUCUCUCCAGAGCAAAAGGAACUUACUGGUGUACAGACCCUCUUGACAUAAUCCCUUCUUUCAAAGGACCGAUUACAUUGUCACUUUCUGUUUCUCUCCUGACAACACCGUUCUUCAUGUUCCAGAUCGCUGCCCCAUCCCAGCUGUUAUGGAAGGCCUGUGACUUCUGAUGAUCUUGGUACCCAUUAUUAAUUGACCAUAAACUCAUGUUGAUUUGGGGAAAUUUUACUGACUGCUGUUUGACAAUGCUGAUUCUGAGAGGAUGUCCACAAAUCUUACCAAAAAUAUCUAUUCAG